GACAGAGGCCUCGAGCGUUUAGGCGGAAUCACUGGGCUUAAAAGCGUGUGUAGGCGGGCCCGUAAGUGUCUUGUGAAAUCCCACGGCUCAACCGUGGAACUGCUGGGCAUACUGCGGGUCUUGGGCCAACUAGGGGCAGCCGGAACAAGCGGUGGAGCGGUGAAAUGCGUAGAUAUCGCUUGGAACGCCGAAGGUGAAAACAGGCUGCUGGGGUUGCGCCGACGCUGAGACACGAAAGCCAGGGGAGCAAACAGG
rnacentral:rRNA from 1 species